UUGUUGCCGGAGUUCUUUCAUGAACACUUUUCCUCGUCGAUUUAUAUGAAACUCAAUUCUGUAACAUGAUGAGCCAUAAAUUCUUUGAAAUUUAUGAUCAAGUUGUUAUCUACUGCUGUUACAGAUAAACUCUGAGACCGUUUGGUGUUCAAGAAAGCUAUGGAAAAAUUGGUGAAUUGGGACAAAGAAAUAAUACAAUUAGAA
rnacentral:lncRNA from 1 species